rnacentral:rRNA from 1 species
GACGAACGCUGGCGGCGUGCUUAACACAUGCAAGUCGAACGGAAAGGCCCUGCUUUUGUGGGGUGCUCGAGUGGCGAACGGGUGAGUAACACGUGAGUAACCUGCCCUUGACUUUGGGAUAACUUCAGGAAACUGGGGCUAAUACCGGAUAGGAGCUCCUGCUGCAUGGUGGGGGUUGGAAAGUUUCGGCGGUUGGGGAUGGACUCGCGGCUUAUCAGCUUGUUGGUGGGGUAGUGGCUUACCAAGGCUUUGACGGGUAGCCGGCCUGAGAGGGUGACCGGCCACAUUGGGACUGAGAUACGGCCCAGACUCCUACGGGAGGCAGCAGUGGGGAAUAUUGCACAAUGGGCGGAAGCCUGAUGCAGCAACGCCGCGUGCGGGAUGACGGCCUUCGGGUUGUAAACCGCUUUCGCCUGUGACGAAGCGUGAGUGACGGUAAUGGGUAAAGAAGCACCGGCUAACUACGUGCCAGCAGCCGCGGUGAUACGUAGGGUGCGAGCGUUGUCCGGAUUUAUUGGGCGUAAAGGGCUCGUAGGUGGUUGAUCGCGUCGGAAGUGUAAUCUUGGGGCUUAACCCUGAGCGUGCUUUCGAUACGGGUUGACUUGAGGAAGGUAGGGGAGAAUGGAAUUCCUGGUGGAGCGGUGGAAUGCGCAGAUAUCAGGAGGAACACCAGUGGCGAAGGCGGUUCUCUGGGCCUUUCCUGACGCUGAGGAGCGAAAGCGUGGGGAGCGAACAGGCUUAGAUACCCUGGUAGUCCACGCUGUAAACGGUGGGUACUAGGUGUGGGGUCCAUUCCACGGGUUCCGUGCCGUAGCUAACGCUUUAAGUACCCCGCCUGGGGAGUACGGCCGCAAGGCUAAAACUCAAAGGAAUUGACGGGGCCCCGCACAAGCGUCGGAGCAUGCGGAUUAAUUCGAUGCAACGCGUAGAACCUUACCUGGGUUUGACAUGGAUCGGGAGCGCUCAGAGAUGGGUGUGCCUCUUUUGGGGUCGGUUCACAGGUGGUGCAUGGCUGUCGUCAGCUCGUGUCGUGAGAUGUUGGGUUAAGUCCCGCAACGAGCGCAACCCUUGUUCACUGUUGCCAGCACGUUAUGGUGGGGACUCAGUGGAGACCGCCGGGGUCAACUCGGAGGAAGGUGGGGAUGACGUCAAGUCAUCAUGCCCCUUAUGUCCAGGGCUUCACGCAUGCUACAAUGGCUGGUACAGAGAGUGGCGAGCCUGUGAGGGUGAGCGAAUCUCGGAAAGCCGGUCUCAGUUCGGAUUGGGGUCUGCAACUCGACCUCAUGAAGUCGGAGUCGCUAGUAAUCGCAGAUCAGCAACGCUGCGGUGAAUACGUUCCCGGG